UGCCUUUGCAGAAGGAAGUAGGAUGCCA
rnacentral:piRNA from 1 species